CAGCUCUCCGAGUGGUAGGGAUGAUUAUUGGGCUUAAAGCGUCCGUAGCCGGCUUAGCAAGUCUCCUGUUAAAUUCAACGACCUAAUCGUUGAGCCGCGGGAGAUACUACUAGGCUAGGAGGCGGGAGAGGUCGACGGUACUUCUGGGGUAGGGGUGAAAUCCUAUAAUCCCGGGAGGACCACCAGUGGCGAAGGCUGUCGACUAGAACGCGCUCGACGGUGAGGGACGAAAGCUGGGGGAGCGAACCGGAUUAGAUACCCGAGUAGUCC
rnacentral:rRNA from 1 species